CAAUAUUGAAAAUUUCUCUAAAUUCAAACACAAAUAAACUUUGUGAUAAAGAAACACAAACCUCAGCCUGAGAUUUCAAAGCAAGCUUGAAGAAUCCAGAGGCAACAAAGUGUUUCCCAACAGACUCUGCCAAUUUGAUUUGUCCAAUCCAAUAAGAUGAAGUCUCAAGCUUAUCAAAACGACAUUUGCUACAAUUUACUGCGCUGUAAAACGGUGUAGCUUGCACUUUACUCUUGCCUCUACCAUGAGAAGUUGUUGCUGGAGUUUUAGGCUCCUCUGCAGAAUCACUUUCCUUUAACAUUGCUUUUUCUGCCAACUUUUGUGGGAAUGUGUCACUCUUCUUGUUCUUUAUGGGCUUGACAUUUUCUGGUGAUUUUUUAUCAUUAGGUUGUGUUAAAGUGGUGAUUUCAGUGGGAACUUGUGUUGCUGGAAUUGGUUGUUUGGGUUGUUUAUGUGGAACUGCAGGUUUUGGUUUGGUGGUAAUGUUGUCCGAAAUGGGCUUUUUCGGAAUGUUAUCGUUUGUGUUCCAAGGGGUACCGAAAGCUCGGUUUUGUCUGAAACAAAAAUAGAGAAUGGAAAUUGAGAAAAAAAUCAAAUAACAAUGUAAAGGAAUUCAUGAUUUUAAAUAGAAUUCAGAUUGCCUCUGGUCGUC
rnacentral:lncRNA from 1 species